CUCUCUCUCUCUCCUCAUCACCACCAGGUUUUCAUAUUCCAAGGAACUUCUUGAAUAAAGCUGAGAAUACAAAGCACAAAGGGUAUUUUAAAAAAAAAAAACUUUAUAAGUAAUCAAAUACACUUUAUACAAAGUAGUUUUUCUGGUGAAGUAAUAGAAGGCAAUGUAUGGCGCACACUUCAUCGGCAAGCUCAAAACAGGGGCGGACGCAGGCGGUUGAUGGGUGUGGACUUUCUGCUGAGCUUUCUCUCAUCAAAGUGCACAGAUAACCCCAAGUGAUUCAUCACUUGACGCUGUCCUCAUGAGAUGGUUGAUAUCGGGUUACUGCCUUAAAGAGCAACUAAAGCAUUUCAAAGCAAAUGUAAUAAAAUCCCAGACUUCAUGUUUAGUCGGUUCGGUUCGGGUUUAGUUACAUAUCCAAGAUCCGAUUGAAUCCGAUAUAGUUUCAGUUUGAGAUAUUAAUCGGGUUAUCGGUUCUAAAACUAUUGAUUUGUACAUGACUUCCUCAAACGAGAUUAUUUUCUUUGAAAAUAACUUUGGAAGGCUCGUUUGUCAACCAUAUAAGACUCUCUUUUGAAUUAUAUGUAACAACGUCAGAUAUAGCUUGACAAACCAAAGCCUUUUA